rnacentral:lncRNA from 1 species
GAGUAACGUGGCUUGACCACGCAUGGACCACAGUCUGACUAGCUAUACAAGUUAGCAGCUAACAUGUACUGAUGGACUAGUUUGGGCCCCAUUCAGUAUCCAUUCAUCUCCCUUUUGUGAGCUUAGCAUUGCCCAAACUUUGAUGUUCUUCUCUGGCCCCUGGGCUUGGAAAGCUGUGUGACAACCUCUAUUGUAUAAUUUGUAUUAAUCUUUUCAAAGAACCAACUUUUGGCUUUGUUGAUUAUGCUCUAAUAUUUUCUAUUCUCUGAUUUCUAUUCUCAGCUUUAGUACUUUCUUCCUUCUAGUUUCUCUGGAUUUGAUUUGUUGUUCUUUAACUCUGAAAUGGAAACAUAGAUCAUUGUUUUUUGGCCUUUCCUAAUAUGUGUAUUUAAAGCUAUAAUAUCCCCUCUAUCCACUGCUCUAGCUGCACCCAUGAGUUUUGACAUGCAGUGUCUUUCCUUAUCAUCAGUUCAAAAUGUUUUAUAAUUUUCAUUGUGAUUUCUUUGACUCAUGAAUUAUUUAAAAGUGUAUUGCUUAAUAUUCAACCAGUUGUGGACUUUCUAGUAAUCUUUUUUUUUUUUACUGAUUUAUAGCUUAAUAUCACUGUGAUCUGAGAUCUCUGCCCUUUGAAAUUUGUGGAGACUGGGUGAACCAGUGUAUGGCAAGUUUUGGUAAAUGUUCUUAUGCAUUUGAAAGAGAAUGUGUGUUCUGUUAUUGUUGGGGACUGCCUCCUGUUUUGAGCUUCUCUCCAUAUUUUGUUAUUGUUUUGCCUCUUCCCUCUUUUCAGACUCUAGCAUUGUAUCCUGUAAUGGGACUUCCUGUUGAGUGCUCCCCCACAUCCAACACCAAGGCCACUGAACGCCUCUUUACCAACAUGCCGCCGCCUCCGCUGUUUGCAGACCCGCCGGCUGUGUGACGAGCUUCCUCCACACCCUCCCUGGAUCCUGCAAUGAAUAAACUCUAGCUGUGGAAAGAACAGCAAACACAGGUAGGUAUCACCCUGUGGCAGGCCAACUACAGGGGCAGUGAGAGCCGAGACAAUCAGUAAAUACGAAGGGCAUAAUGAUCAGGAUGGGGAGAUGGCUUUUUUUUUUUUUUUUUUUUUUUGCAUUAGAUGAUUAGCUCUUUAGUACUAGAGCUAUGCCAUUUUUGUGAGUUGAAAAAUACUCUAAGCAUUUAAGACAAGUGGGAAACCAAAGUUCAGUUUUUAGGAACCGUUUAGGCGUUUAAUCGUUUUGAUUUCUUCAUAUUCACACUGAGGCUGUAUUCCUCAUAUCCUCCGGUAGGAUUGAGUUGGAUUAUUUUGGCCCAUCUCAGAUUUGGCUUAAGUGGUUUUGCCCCCCAAACCUUUUGGCGGUAAGAGAUUAGACCUUGCCACUCAAAGCGUGGUCCACGGUGCAUCAGCAUGCAUCAGCAUGAUCGUCACCUGAGAGGUUGUUAGAAGCCACAAUCUCAGAAUCUGCAUUAUAACGAGAUCCCCAGGUGGCUUGAAAAUUGCAGUCUUAGAAGCACUGAAUUGGGUCUCAACCCUGGCUGCACAUUCAAAUCAUCUAAAAACCUUAAAAAAAAAAAAACAACAACAACAAACCACUAAUGCCUGGACCCGAAGCCCAGAGAUUCUGAUCUAAUUGCUCUAGCAUAGAACCAGGCAUUGAGAAUUUUUACCACCUGCUCACAUGAUCUAACAUGCAGCCAAGGGCAAGAAUCACAG